GACGAACGCUGGAGGCGUGCUUAACACAUGCAAGUCGAACGAUGAAAUGGAGCUUGCUCCAUGGAUUAGUGGCGAACGGGUGAGUAACACGUGAAUAACCUGCCCUUAAUUUUGGAAUAACCCAGGGAAACCUGGGCUAAUACCGGAUAAGUAAACCUGUGGCAUCACAUGGUUUUGAAAGUUUUUCGAUUAAGGAUGGAUUCGCGGCCUAUCAGCUUGUUGGUGAGGUAAUGGCUCACCAAGGCGACGACGGGUAGCCGGCCUGAGAGGGUGAACGGCCACACUGGGACUGAGACACGGCCCAGACUCCUACGGGAGGCAGCAGUGGGGAAUAUUGCGCAAUGGACGAAAGUCUGACGCAGCGACGCCUCGUGAGGGACGAAGGUCUUCGGAUUGUAAACCUCUUUCAGCAGGGACGAAGCGAAAGUGACGGUACCUGCAGAAGAAGCACCGGCUAACUAUGUGCCAGCAGCCGCCGUAA
rnacentral:rRNA from 1 species